rnacentral:rRNA from 1 species
AAGACGUGCGCAGACGGUUUGGUUAGACUGUCGUGAAUACCUCGGGCUCAACCUGGGAAUGGCGAUGGUGACUGCAAGGCUAGAGUUUGGCAGAGGGGGGUAGAAUUCCACGUGUAGCAGUGAAAUGCGUAGAUAUGUGGAGGAACACCGAUGGCGAAGGCAGCCCCCUGGGUCAAAACUGACGCUCAUGCACGAAAGCGUGGGGAGCAAACAGGAUUAGAUACCCUAGU